UUCCUUGAUUAAUGAAGGAAGUUUCCCUUCACCCGGCUAGUCGCAUUCAUUAGUUCCGUGCCUUUUUUUUGGUUUCGAGAGGGAGCCACAUUAAGGUACAAGAUUUUGACAGUUAAUAAGGUUAUGUGCUGUCACACUCCUGUCAGUGGAAAGCAAAAAGGCGUUAGUACAUUUAUAAAAACGUAAUUUGGCCACAUUUCGCUUGUGUAUAAUGCCAUUAGGAAUUAAAUACGCACGUCACAAUCUCACACUAAUGAUUUUUUCGAAAAGUAAACAAUUUCCUGAUAUGUGGCUAUUUGGUAAACUAGAGUAAUGUGUAUUGUGCCGUAUUAAAUCCCUGACAAUUAUAAGUGACUAAACCUGCAAGAGUGCAACAGCUUGUUAGAAUACAGUGCACAACCAAUACGUUCAAGGUCUUUUAGGCCCGUAGGGGGGUUAUAAGAUAAAGAAUUUUUUUGAAUAAAUAUAACUUUUUUUCCUAGUACUUUGUGUGUAGAGAUUGCAAAAAUUUGCCAACGAUAAUGCCGCAGACACUGCGAUGUUCCUCGCAGGAGAAUAUGGGAUUUUCAUUUAAAUAUGAAACAAUUAUUGUUUUCAAAAUGUAGUCUACAUCUUGCGUAGGCACACUGGAUGAAUAUUUGAGCUUUCCUCUGUCUUGAUUAUAAAUUAAUUCCAAGAGGGGACUUGUUUUUGACUCAAAAUAAUUGGUUAAGGGUACUAGACAAGCAGUACAUUUUACAGUCUCCUCAACUUUUCUUAACAAAUAUCCACAGAGAAAUCCAAUUUCUAACUUAAAUUUCAAAUAAUUACGACGUUUGGCGCGUGAUUUUGGUAACUAUGGUAACAAGAAAAGUUUUCGGAAGAAAUUAACAGAUGGCGAUACAUUAGAGUACGCUGUUAGAACC